rnacentral:RNase_P_RNA from 1 species
CAAGCAGAUUGGGUAGUCGCGGGCGUAUUCACUGCGUAUUGUCGCAAGGGAUGGCGCUCGAGGAAAGUCCGAACUCCAUAGGGCUGGGUGCUGGAUAACUUCCAGUGGGGGUGACCCUAAGGAAAGUGCCACAGAAAUCAAACCGCCUUCGCAUCUGAUCCAAGCCGUAAAUGGCCGGAUUGGUCUGAGGGUAAGGGUGAAACGGUGCGGUAAGAGCGCACCGGCAACCAGGUGACUGGUUGGCCAGGUAAACCCCACCCGGAGCAAGACCGAAUAGGAGGGACAUGAGGUGGCCCGCCUCCCCCUCGGGUACGGUCGCUUGAGGCCUUUGGGUAACCAAGGUCCCAGAUAGAUGACUAUCCAUGACAGGAUUCGGCUUACAGAUCUGGUUGUUUG